rnacentral:lncRNA from 1 species
GCCCGGUCAGGUCGGCAGCCGAUCGUUUAUUAAAAUUAGAUUAAAUAAUAUUAAAAAUUAUUCAAUAUAUAUGUAGAUGCACUAAAAUCUAGAAAUUAUAUACAUAUGAAAAUAUAGUUCAAUACAACCCAAAAUGCUUAAAAAAUAUACAAUACAACCUUACUCUGUAAUUGUAAGUUUAGACAACUGAAUUCUACGAGGUCGCAUAUUUUGAAAACGUUGCAAUAUUAUCUCAUUCUCAAGUUUCAUAAAAAGAUAUUUCUCCAUGUAAACUACCAAAUUGUCAUUCAACAAUUCAUCUCCCAUUUUGUUGUGCAGAUCAUUCUUGAUUAGAUUCAUAGCAGAGAAUAUCCUUUCAACACUUGCAGUUGCCACAGGUAAUAUCAAAACCAAUGUGAUCAGCCUAUAAACCAAUAGAAAACAACAAGAACUUCCAGUUUCAACCAACUUCUGAAUUACACAAGAUAUGCUUUUGAGAUUGAAGAAAGCUUCAUCCAUUCUCACGAGCAUAAGAAACUUGUCAAGUUGAGGUCUAAGUAAUAAAAGCUAUUCACUAUUGAAAUCCAUAGGAUAUAACUGAGCAAGUCGUACCAAUUUACAUACAUCAAAAGCUGCAAAUGAAUCUCUUGGACUUAAACACGAAAUGCAAGUAAAAAGCUCAGUAGUUGGUUGUUUCUGGAAAACUAUCAUUCAACUCUUGCAAGAUUGAAUCUAUCAUAUAACAAUACAAAUCAACAUAAAAGCGAUGAUAAUAAGUCACCUACUGACUUGCACGCCUAGGUCGACCUUUCAAUACUACAAUAUCAUCCAUAUUUGGCACUGAAAUAUGUUUAUCAACACAAAACUCAAUUACCUUACUCAACAAAGUAUCCCAACCAUUGUCUCUCAUGUUCUGCAAUGCGUACUUACACAACUUCAAUAAUCUCAUAGCAUUCCGAAUAUCCCGAUCCUUUUUCUGUAAGGCUUGUGAAAGGUCGUCUGUAAUUGUAAGAAUUUCAAACAUAAAAUGGAGACUGAACACAAAUUGAAAAUCUUGCAUAGUGUCCAUCUAUCUUACGGCCAUUGAUUUUUGCUCGAAACUUAUGCCGUCUUAUGAUUUAUUCUCAAGAACAUCUAUGAUCGCAUUAAACAUACUAAUAAAGUGAGUAAUUGUCUUUAGAUGUGAGCCCCUUCUAGUAUCACCUGGGCGUGCCACACUCAUUUCUUGAAACCGACUAGUUCCACCAGAAAGUUCCUCAAUAUUAAGCCUCUCCAGAAUUUCAGAAUGAUAACUUGUUUGAAGAGCAUCUACACGUUUACAUGAUGCACCAACCAAAUUCACAAUAAUAGCAAGCAUUUUAAAUAAAUCACUAAGCAUAACAUUCCUAUGUGCCACAGAAACAACUGCCAACUGAAGCUGGUGAGCAAAGCAAUGAACAUACAUAGCACAUGGGUUCUAUCUUAAAAUUAAAGCUUUUAAGCCAUUGACCUCACUUGACAUAUUGCUUGCUCCAUCAUAACUUUGACCUCUCAGACUAGAUAUGCUCAACCCACGUGUAGAAAACAUUGCAUCAAUGGCAUCCUUGAGUGAUUGGGCACAAGUAUCAGCGAUGUGGCAAAUGCCCAACAAACGCUCCUUCACUUGCCCACUUUUGUCAACAAACCUCAAAACAACUGCCAUUUGUCCUUUUAUAGAAUUAUCACGAGACUCAUCAAUCAAAAUUGAAAACAAAGAAUCGCCCAUCUCAUUGCUUAUAGACCUUGUCAUCUCUACAGCACAACAAUUAACUAAAUCCUUAUGGAUGCUUGGUAAAGUUAUUUGGUCAUUUCCAGGAGCAUUACUAAAUAGUACUUCAUUAAUUUUCUUACAAUGAGUUGCAUACCAAUUUAGUAGCUCAAUUAGAUUUCCUUUAUUAAGAGACUCUUUCGAUUCAUCAUGACCACGAGAUGGCAAUCCUUGCAUCAAGAGGAAUCUAGUACAGUCUAGCACCGCAGUCAACCUUGUCCUAUAAUUUUUUUGUUGACUACUACUUUGGCUAGAAAUAACAUGGGAGAUACUUUGCUUUUGAUUCAUCAAAUUGGUACACUUUGCAAAAGCUUGAUUAUGAGCACUAUCAACGAGCCCGACAUAAUCUUUCAAUGUACUUUUGUGCUUCCAAUCCCUAAAGCCGGUAUUAGUGAAUAUAUGUCCACCCCCUUGACCCCCUCUAUCAGGUUUGAACAAGUAGCAAUGCAAACAAUAAGCCGCAUCAUUUUCUAUACUGUACUUCAACUAAUAAAAUUCAAAAAACCAUUCUUUACGAAAACACCUAUUAUCAUUUCCUAUCCGUCUUCUUGGAAAGUCAUGUCCAUGUGGUUGACAAGGACCUUUUUGCAAAUAUGUCAUCCUAACAUCAUCUCUGAUAUUAGGAUCAUAUGACUCGAUAGGAGGGCAUUUUCCUGGAUCAGAUACAAGAUCAUCCACGUUGAAUUGAUCCUGAGACUUCUUUGUGUUGUUUAACAACUGAGUGCUCGGCUAGAAGCAGUGACGGGACUAGAAGCACAACUAGAACUAGGUAUAGACUUUCGUUUUGAUUGAAAAAAUUGUUCCAUAAUCUGCAAAAUGCCCCAAUUUAAUUUUCAAUUACAAUUGAUUAAAAAAUCAACAAUUCAACAAAAAAAUCCCUAAGAGUUAGAUAACAAUGUAUUAGAAGAAUCAAACACUAAAAAAUUAGUUAAAGCAACAAGUUGCUACAUUGUAGUUGGUACUUGGUAGGUUGGCCAUUUAUGUCAAUUUGAAUACUCAAACAAGUCAAAAACAAAUAAAUGCUUAAGUAUUAGAAGCAACAAAAUUAUUAUUUAUUAGAUACGACACAAAUGAAAGACUACCAAUUUUUCGCCCAUCUUAGUACCAUAUACUAAAAUUCAGUGAAAUAGUCCAAAUUCGAUUUCAGAAAUUAGGCUGAUUGUCCUUUUUGUCAAUGUUGGAAAUACACUCAGUUUUGAUGCCUUCUUAAAUGAAUUUUAACACUUGAAAGUGAUCAAAAUGCCCUUAACAUGAUAGGACUACGAUGGGCAACAGCAGCAGUGGCGAAUCCAAUAACAUUCUAAGCUAAAUGCCUAAAUCACAUAUAUGUAAUUUGAAAUAAAGCCCCAUAAUUUGAGGAGUUGUUAUUUAAAUGGAAAGUAAUUAAUCCCCACAUGAAAGUAGGAAUCCUUUUGAAAUAAAGCACAGAAAUCACCAGCGAAUUAUCCUAAAUUACAACUUAUUUGCAGAUCCCUCCAGCCUCCAGCCUCUAGCCUCCAUCAGUCCAUCCCGUAAAUGUAAUAGCCUCUAACAAAUGGUGUUUAUGCUCUAAUAGUCUAAUUCCUGAUUUUUGAAGUAAUGACUAAUGAAUCAGUGAUUCAACUUUAAGAUGAGAAAUUGAGAAUUGUUCUCCGAUCCAGACAUCCGGUUCAAAACCCAUAUCCUCAAAUUUACAAAUUAAUAACAAGUUAGACAUUAAAUUCAGGACCAAAUACUGUGCCGAGAAGGAAUUGGGGAAGAAUAGGAACUCACAAUUCACAAAGGGUUUGCUAAUUGCUUAACCUCAAAAUCGGGAGUUUGACACGAGACAAGAACGAAAGGUUGCUGCGGAGUGCGGGCUGCCUGCUGGACUGGAGUGUUGCUCACCUGCUCCUCUCGACUCUCCGGUGGCGGACUUGGCGGUGCCGUCUGCAGCGUCUGCUUGCUGCUGCGGUAAUGGCGGUAGACAGGUAGAGGUAUAUUAUUGGGUGGUGGCAUUUUGGGGAAUAAUCUGGGACUCUGUUUUCGGGUUGCUGGGUAUGUGGUAUGGAGAAGCUCAUUUUGGC